rnacentral:rRNA from 1 species
CGGUCAAGCUACAAAGGGCGCAAGGAGAAUGCCUUGGCACUGGGAGCCGAUGAAAGACGUGGUAAGCUGCGAUAAGCCUUGGGGAGGA